rnacentral:rRNA from 1 species
GAUGAACGCUCGCUACAGGCUUAACACAUGCAAGUCGCGGGGCAGCAUGGGGGUUGCUUGCAAUCCCCGAUGGCGACCGGCGCACGGGUGAGUAACGCGUAUCCAACCUGCCCUUCACCACGGGAUAACCCGGCGAAAGUCGGACUAAUACCGUAUGUUGUCCAUUGACGGCAUCCGAUUUGGACGAAAGGCUUGGCGGUGAGGGAUGGGGAUGCGUCCGAUUAGCCAGACGGCGGGGUAACGGCCCACCGUGGCUACGAUCGGUAGGGGUUCUGAGAGGAAGGUCCCCCACACUGGAACUGAGACACGGUCCAGACUCCUACGGGAGGCAGCAGUGAGGAAUAUUGGUCAAUGGGCGUAAGCCUGAACCAGCCAAGUAGCGUGCAGGAUGACGGCCCUAUGGGUUGUAAACUGCUUUUAUGCGGGGAUAAAGUGGCCCACGUGUGGGCUUUUGCAGGUACCGCAUGAAUAAGGACCGGCUAAUUCCGU